UAUUUUGGCCAAAAAUGUCUAACCUAAAUCUGAUUAUGAGAAGGUAAGCAAGGUCGGGCCUGGUUAGUACUUGGAUGGGAGACCACCUAGGAAGACCAGGUGCUGGAGGCA
rnacentral:rRNA from 1 species